rnacentral:lncRNA from 1 species
GAUGGGGCAAGCCAUGGGACUGGAAGGCAGCAGGCAGAUGUCAGGGUUGGGGAUUACUGGCUCAGAAGCAAAACAGGAGCAGUUCUUGCUGCUGCACUUGCCUUCUCUCACCUCACCGAGUCCUCACCUCACUGAGGUCAGGGCUGAGCUACAAGGCUGUCAGACUCUAGCUUGUAUUAUGGAAUUGAGAGAAGCAAUGGUGGAGCCUUGGUCCAUGAGUAAAAUUUCCUCCCGUUGGUUAGAGCCACAGUCCAUCCAGCCCACGGCUUGUCUCGAGAAAUCUCAUGUAGAAGCCCAGAACUUUCAAGAGAUAAGAAGUAGAGAGAUUCUGGUUUAAAGAGAGAUGACAGAAGCCCUGAAUGUUCUCUCUUCUGCUCCCCCAGAUACCUUCAUGGACUACAGGGCUGUACAUACGGUUAGACUCCUUGACCUCAAUAUGAAUGUCUAAAGACUCCAAGCAUCCUAACUCCAAUUAGAAAUCCAGUAGCAAUGUAUUAUCAUGCAGUUGUCUAAAACCUUAAAAAAAAAAAGCUAUUUAAAUUGUCCAUC